AACGCACAUUGCGCCCCUUGGUAUUCCGAGGGGCAUGCCUGUUCGAGCGUCAUUACAACCCUCAAGCACUGCUUGGUAUUGGGCCCCGCUGGUUUCAGCGGGCCUUAAAAUCAGUGGCAGCGCCGUCUGAGCUCUGAGCGUAGUAAAUAUCCUCGCUAUAGAGACCAGGUGGUUCUUGUCAUCAACCCCCAACUUUCUAAGUUUGACCUCGGAUCAGGUAGGGAUACCCGCUGAACUUAA
rnacentral:misc_RNA from 1 species